GAUGAACGCUGGCGGCGUGCCUAAUACAUGCGAGUCGAGCGAACAGACGAGGAGUUUGCUCCUCUGACGUUAGCGGCGGACGGGUGAGUAACACGUGGAUAACCUACCUAUAAGACUGGGAUAACUUCGGGAAACCGGAGCUAAUACCGGAUAAUAUAUUGAACCGCAUGGUUCAAUAGUGAAAGACGGUUUUGCUGUCACUUAUAGAUGGAUCCGCGCCGCAUUAGCUAGUUGGUAAGGUAACGGCUUACCAAGGCAACGAUGCGUAGCCGACCUGAGAGGGUGAUCGGCCACACUGGAACUGAGACACGGUCCAGACUCCUACGGGAGGCAGCAGUAGGGAAUCUUCCGCAAUGGGCGAAAGCCUGACGGAGCAACGCCGCGUGAGUGAUGAAGGUCUUCGGAUCGUAAAACUCUGUUAUUAGGGAAGAACAAAUGUGUAAGUAACUAUGCACGUCUUGACGGUACCUAAUCAGAAGGCCACGGCUAACUACGUG
rnacentral:rRNA from 1 species